CUCCUCUCAGGAUCACACCUGGAGAGUUUCCAAUACCAUACCAGUCUCGGCUAUGGGAGGGAGAGUCAAACAGAGGCAUACUCAUUCCAUUCCUAGCUUGGGUAGUGGCUAGUGAGUGGAAGGCAAUCUGCUACAAGU